AGGUGGCACUCAAAGCAAGGAAGCAGCAAGCAGAUGUCUGCUUUUGUUUAAGCUAAUGUGUAUUAGUGGUUUGCCUGCAUUUUCGUAUGCACUCCUAGUGUCAGUGGAGAGUAGAAGAGGCCAUUGUGUCAUCUGAAACUGGAAUUACAGAUGUUUGUUAUCCGCUGUGCGGGCUCUGGAAGCCAAGUCAGGUCCUCUGCAAGAACAGCCAAUUCUCCUAACCAUUGAGCCGCCUCUCCAGCCCCAAUUCCUCACUUCAUUACAGAUCAGAAAGCAGAGAGUAGACUAGAACUGGGCUCAGCUCUCCCCUCCAAAGGCCCUGCUACCAGGCCCCGCCUCCUGAGCUUCCGCAGUUCUGAGCCUGUGAGGGGACAGUCCAGAUCCAACCAUAACAAGGAGCCAUGGGGUGACAGGCAGGAAGGACAAAGCAGCAAGGCUUUGCAGAACCAAACCGCCAAGAAGAGCGUGGGAGAGAGCAAGCCCUGGGCUGCACAGACUGGCCAUGACCUGCCCUUGUGGGAGAAACUGCAGGAGGCUAAGGAAGCCACCACAGAGCAGGAUGAAGGCUGCAUGUACCUCGAGACUGCCCCAGGCCUGGGACUGUUUAUGUCAUCGCCAUGUAGCUCAUGACACACAGGACAUGGGCCUUGGUGCAGGGAUAACCUCUCGUGUACUGUGUGGAAGCAUCGCUUGUCAGUAACAAGCUGAUGGCCUAUUAGCAGAAGUGGGGAGGGAACAGUGGAAAGCGUGAGUAUGGACUGGGAGGAUCUGCUGUGAGGUUGUGAUGGGCCAUAGGACACACAGACAGACGAAGAGCCAAGGCGAGGUUCAGAUGCAAAUCAAGGACUGUGUGUCUUGGCAUUGGCCGCCAUAGAGUGUGAGGAUAGAUAAAUGUCUGCCUAGCUUAGUGCUUGCAGCUUGUUAAUAAAGAUGCCAGGUCUCUGUCUAGAACAGGUGUAGAAAUGCCCUGUUGUCACUUGGGAGCAAAGGGACAUAGAAAACCCUCUGAAGAAUUAUUUUGUGUUUGAUGCCCAAUGUGGGACUAGAAAUCUAAGCUUAGAACCUAAGAACUGGGUAGAAGAUGAUUCUCUAGCCAGGAACUGGGAAACCACAGGGCAGUACAAAGGUGGAUAUAUUUAAAACACACACACACACACACACACGGGCUGGAGAGAUGGCUCAGCGGUUAAGAUGUGUUGCCUUCUUCUGGGGUAUCUGAAGACAGCUACAGCGAGGGGCCAGGGCGAGCAGGGCAGGAGCAAGAGCUGGAGAGUUGUCUCAGUGAUUAAGAGCACUGACUGCUCUUCCAGAGGUCUAAGUUCAAAUCCCAGCAACUACAUGGUGGCUCACAACCACCUGUAGUGAGAUCAGAUGCCCUCUUCUGGUGUGUCAGAA
rnacentral:lncRNA from 1 species